rnacentral:rRNA from 1 species
UACGUAGGGGGCAAGCGUUGUCCGGAUUUAUUGGGCGUAAAGAGCGUGUAGGCGGUUAGGUAGGUCCGUUGUGAAAACUCGAGGCUCAACCUCGAGACGCCGAUGGAAACCAUCUAACUAGAGUCCGGAAGAGGAGAAUGGAAUUCCUGGUGUAGCGGUGAAAUGCGCAGAUAUCAGGAGGAACACCAAUGGCGAAGGCAGCUCGCUGGGACGGUACUGACGCUGAGACGCGAAAGCGUGGGGGAGCAAACAGG